UUACGGUUUUGUAAUUGGAAUGAGUUAAGUAUAAACCCCUUAACAAGUAUCAAUUGGAGGGCAAGUCUGGUGCCAGCAGCCGCGGUAAUUCCAGCUCCAAUAGCGUAUAUUAAAGUUGUUGCAGUUAAAAAGCUCGUAGUUAAUUUUCUGUUAAUUUUUAUAUACAAUGCUACGGUAUUUAUAUAAUAUUAACAUAAUUCAUAUUACUUUUUAGUAUAUGAAGCUUUACUU
rnacentral:rRNA from 1 species